rnacentral:rRNA from 1 species
UCAGCAGGCCGCGGUAAUACAGAGGGUGCUAGCGUUAAUCGGAUUUACUGGGCGUAAAGCGUGCGUAGGUGGUUUGAUAAGUCGAUUGUGAAAGCCCCGGGCUCAACCUGGGAAUUGCGGUCGAUACUGUCAGACUCGAAAACGGUAGAGGGAGGUGGAACUCCAGGUGUAGCGGUGAAAUGCGUAGAUAUCUGGAAGAACACCGAUGGCGAAGGCAGCCUCCUGGGCCUGUUUUGACACUGAGGCACGAAAGCGUGGGUAGCAAACAGGAUUAGAUACCCUGGUAGUCCACGCCGUAAACGAUGAGAACUUGACGUUGGUUUGCUUAGCAAAUCGGUGUCGUAGCUAACGCGAUAAGUUCUCCGCCUGGG